AGUUAGGGUUCUUUCACUAGGCCCGAUCUCCCAACCCUAUGUUUACUAAAUCUGUUGCUUCGGCGGGCCCGCCACUCGUGGCCGCCGGGGGACCACCGCGAGGUGUCCUCUGGCCCGCGCCCGCCGAUGGCCUACAUUUACAACUUCUGAAUGAAUCGUGUCUAAACUUGUCUGAGUCUAUUUUUAUUGAAUUAAAAGCAAAACUUUCAACAACGGAUCUCUUGGUUCUGGCAUCGAUGAAGAACGCAGCGAAAUGCGAUAAGUAAUGCGAAUUGCAGAAUUCCAGUGAGUCAUCGAAUCUUUGAACGCACAUUGCGCCCUUUGGUAUUCCGAAGGGCAUGCCUGUUCGAGCGUCAUUAUCACCACUCAAGCCCCCCGGGGUUUGGCUUUGGACGGCUCGGUCGGUUCUCGUCUCGAGACGACCCCUCCUAAAUAUAAUGACGGCGUCCUCGUGGAACCCCCGGUACACUGAGCAUCUUAACUGAGCACGUAUCGGAGUAAGGGUGCCCCUGGAGUCGGUCUUCUCCUUGCAAAAGGAAACAAUUACGUUCUUCGUAAGGUUGACCUCGGAUCAGGUAGGAAUACCCGCUGAACUUAAGCAUAUCAAUAAG
rnacentral:misc_RNA from 1 species